GAUGAACGCUAGCGACAGGCUUAACACAUGCAAGUCGAGGGGCAGCACAGGUAGCAAUACCGGGUGGCGACCGGCGCACGGGUGAGUAACGCGUAUGCAACUUACCUAUCAGAGGGGGAUAACCCGGCGAAAGUCGGACUAAUACCGCAUGAAGCAGGGGUCCCGCAUGGGGAUAUUUGCUAAAGAUUCAUCGCUGAUAGAUAGGCAUGCGUUCCAUUAGGCAGUUGGCGGGGUAACGGCCCACCAAACCGACGAUGGAUAGGGGUUCUGAGAGGAAGGUCCCCCACAUUGGUACUGAGACACGGACCAAGCUACUACGGGAGGCAGCAGUGAGGAAUAUUGGUCAAUGGCCGAGAGGCUGAACCAGCCAAGUCGCGUGAGGGAUGAAGGUUCUAUGGAUCGUAAACCUCUUUUAUAAGGGAAUAAAGUGCGGGACGUGUCCCGUUUUGUAUGUACCUUAUGAAUAAGGAUCGGCUAACUCCGUG
rnacentral:rRNA from 1 species